UAUAUUUAUUAAGACUAUAAUUUCCCAGCUGCCUCACUCCCAUCAGGCUCCAGUCGUGGUCACAUGGGCUCAGAGGUAGCUGACACUUGGUGAUGUCCCAGGCCUGUGUUCCUUGGCCAGCCCAGGGAGGGUGUGUGGUUGGCAUCCCACAGCCUACCUGCGAAGGGAUGUGAGUGAGGGGAGUGUGGGGUCUGGCUCUGAUCUGCCUUCCAAGCUGA